rnacentral:rRNA from 1 species
CAACGCCGCGUGGAGGAUGAAGAUCUUCGGGUCGUAAACUCCUGUCGAGUGGGAAGAAUAGCUUCGGGGCUAAUAUCCCCGGAGCCUGACGGUACCACUAAAGGAAGCCCCGGCUAACUCCGUGCCAGCAGCCGCGGUAAUACGGGGGGGCAAGCGUUGUUCGGAAUUACUGGGCGUAAAGGGCUCGUAGGCGGCCAACUAAGUCGGAUGUGAAAUCCCCAGGCUCAACCUGGGAACUGCAUCCGAUACUGGAUGGCUUGAAUUCGGGAGAGGGAUGCAGAAUUCCAGGUGUAGCGGUGAAAUGCGUAGAUAUCUGGAGGAAUACCGGUGGCGAAGGCGGCAUCCUGGACUGACAUUGACGCUGAGGAGCGAAAGCUAGGGGAGCAAACGGGAUUAGAUACCCCGGUAGUCCUAGCCCUAAACGAUGAAUGCUUGGUGUAACGGGUAUCGAUCCCUGUUGUGCCGAAGCUAACGCAUUAAGCAUUCCGCCUGGGGAGUACGGUCGCAAGGCUG